CCAAGAAUAUUCCGCAAUGGACGAAAGUCUGACGGAGCGACGCCGCGUGGAGGAUGAAGGCCUUCGGGUUGUAAACUCCUUUUCUGAGGGAAGAAUAAGGCAGGGAGGGAAUGCCCUGCUGAUGACGGUACCUUAGGAAUAAGCCCCGGCUAAUUACGUGCCAGCAGCCGCGGUAAUACGUAAGGGGCGAGCGUUACUCGGAAUCACUGGGCGUAAAGGGCGUGUAGGCGGCCUUUCAAGUCAAAUGUAAAAGACGACGGCUCAACCGUCGGAAUGCGUUUGAAACUGGUAGGCUUGAACUUGGUAGAGGGUGAUGGAAUUCCCGGUGUAGCGGUGAAAUGCGUAGAUAUCGGGAAGAACACCAAAGGCGAAGGCAGUCAUCCAUACCGAAGUUGACGCUGAGGCGCGAAAGCGUGGGGAGCGAACA
rnacentral:rRNA from 1 species